AACGAACGCUGGCGGCAGGCCUAACACAUGCAAGUCGAGCGCACCUUCGGGUGAGCGGCGGACGGGUUAGUAACGCGUGGGAAUAUACCCAAAGGUACGGAAUAGCCUCUGGAAACGGAGAGUAAUACCGUAUGUGCCCUUCGGGGGAAAGAUUUAUCGCCUUUGGAUUAGCCCGCGUUGGAUUAGGUAGUUGGUGGGGUAAUGGCCUACCAAGCCUACGAUCCAUAGCUGGUUUGAGAGGAUGAUCAGCAACACUGGGACUGAGACACGGCCCAGACUCCUACGGGAGGCAGCAGUGGGGAAUCUUAGACAAUGGGCGCAAGCCUGAUCUAGCCAUGCCGCGUGAGUGACGAAGGCCUUAGGGUCGUAAAGCUCUUUCGCCAGAGAUGAUAAUGACAGUAUCGUGGUAAAGAAACCCCGCUAACU
rnacentral:rRNA from 1 species